rnacentral:rRNA from 1 species
UACGGAGGGUGCAAGCGUUAUCCGGAUUUACUGGGUUUAAAGGGUGCGUAGGUGGGUCUGUAAGUCAGUGGUGAAAUCUCCGGGCUCAACCUGGAAACUGCCAUUGAUACUAUUAGUCUUGAAUUUUGUUGAGGUAGGCGGAAUAAGUCAUGUAGCGGUGAAAUGCAUAGAUAUGACUUAGAACACCAAUUGCGAAGGCAGCUUGCUAAACAAACAUUGACGCUGAGGCACGAAAGCGUGGGGAUCAAACAGG